GUUGGAUAUUAUUUGAAUCUCGGUAUUUCCUAAAUUGUCUAAAAUUUGUUGGGUUGAGUCAUAUCAGAUUUCUGUAAUUUUAAGACAAAGUUUCUGAAGUCUAGCUGAAUUAUAAGUUAGCUAUUAGACACAGAAUGAGGAAUUCACUGGGAUAGACUUCUUUCUGACUGAGCUGUCUCUCCAGAGUGGCAUACGAUUCAUUACUGCUAAAUACUUCUUCCCUUAUCACCUUAAGUCAAACUUAAAUGUGACAUUUAUAAACUGUGAUGCAUUUAGAUCCAAAGAAGUUGGACAUUCUAGAAAGGCAGGGCAGUGUAGGCUUAAGAGUACAAAUUUGCUUCUGUUUUGACUGUCCCACAUAAUAUGUGUAAAAUGGAGCUACUACGAAUUUAGUUCUCAUCUGAGCCUGAAGAACUUUGUCCUUUGCUUCUCUCCAACACGUAGCUGUAGUUUUAUUGAAUGAAGUCAUAUGAAGGUACCUGAGCAUCCUGUUUUAUUUCUCAUUUCUACACCAUCACUAUUUCCUUUAUCCAUUAUUAUCUUUUUCUUUUUAGUUGGCAUGGCGAUUUUUCAAGACAAAGUUGAUGUACUUUGAUGUAGUUUUUUGCUUUGAAACUUCUGAUGAUCCAAAAUAGGGUAGAUAACUCCUUCCUUUAUGCCACUCCCUACCAAGUACUACAACCUUUGUUACACUGUGUGGUUAUUUUAUUAACAUGCAAGUCUCUCUUAAGACUCUGCACUCCAAGUGCUCAAUAAAUGUUGAAUGAAUGCUAUUUAUUAUGUCUAGAAUGUGUUGCAUCAGUUGUCAAUUGCUGUAUAAAUCCCUAGAUUUAUGGGUGAAAGCAACUCUGAUUUGUCUGCACGGUUUUUCUGUUGACCUCACUUGAUCUCACUGAUGUGACUGUGGUCUGCUGGCAGUUUGGGGAUCAGAGGGUCUUAUAUAGCCUUAUUCAUGUGUCUGGCACCUCAGUUGGAACAGUUGGAGUGACCAAUCCUCUCUCACUUUGUGAUCUUUCAUCUGCGCUCCUUCACAUGAUGGUGGGCUAGUCCUAAAGAAUGGGUGCUUCUAAAGCCUCCAUGAUGUCAUAUUUGCUGGUAUUCCCUUGACCAAAUCAGGUCACGUGGUCAAGCUCAGAGUCAGUGUGGGAAAGGACUAUACAGGAGCCUGGAUGCCAGAACACAUGGUUCAUUGGGGGCCACUAAUGUAAUAAUUCAGGAUGUUUACUUAUCUCCAUGGUCUAGCUUUUAAAGAACUUUGUUCAAAACUCCCUUUUUCUCCUCUAAAAAGCUUUCCAUGUUUCCCCUAAAGAUUUUUUUAAUGUGUUUCUAUUGCUCAUAGUCCUCAAUUAUCUCACCUGGAAGCAGCAGUGAGGUGUUCAUCCAGAACUUGGAGAAUGCAUUCAUUUUUACUUCAGCUUACUCCAGAAAAAUUUAAGGCAAUUUGGAAAUAGAGGGUGUAGGGUCACCUUGGAAACUUAACUGUAUAGCCUAUAAGAUUUAGUACUAUAUGUACUAUAAGAUUUAGUACAUAUUGAUUCAAAAUUCAAGUCAGUCUUUACUGAAGGUAUCAAUAUAUCUAAAAGAAAUAUGUUGUUUUUUCAAAUUUCAGUUUUGAAAAGAUAAAAGCAAAACCCUGGAUACUCUGUGUUGCUAAUCGCUUAGGAAGAAGGGCACUCUUGGGUGCCGUGGGAUUGGAAUUGGAAUUGUUCUCUAAAGCCAUUUGGUAAUCUGUAUUGAGACCUUAAAAAGUUCAUUUUUUGUCAGAUCCAGUGAUUCUACUUCUAGAAAGUUACUCUAAGGGAAUAAUCAGGACAGUUUUGUGCAAAGAUGUUUAUUGAUUCAUUAUUUAUGCAGAGAAAAGGGAAAAAAAUCCAAAUUGGGAAAUGAUGAUGUUUUUCAACAAUGAAUGAUGAUUGUUCCAUGGAACAGUUCUGUAGUGGAAUAUUAUGCCAUCGAUAAGAAGUGGUCUAUAGGAAGAAAUUGCUGUGACUUUGGAAAUUACUCACAAUUUAAAAUGUAAGUGAUUCAAAGGUAUAUAGAGGAUUAAUUCAUUCUGUAAAACCCUGAAUAUGUGUGUAUGUUCAGUGAUCACAAAUGUAUUAACACACUUUGUUUGGCACUAGGGCUUUUUUGUAAAGGAGAAAGACAGUCACUCCCCUCACUCUGCUUACAGAUUUGUGGAAAAAAUAGAUGCUGAAAGGCUUUGAUGCUGAGGAGGUAAUAGCUAUAUUUACACUGGAAAUGGAAAGACUAAGAAGAAAAAGGAGGAAGCCAGAGAGCUUGUUGGUUUGAAAAGACUGAGUGAGUUUUGAAGGGAUUAAAUAUAUUUUGGGGGUGGGAAAGAAUUGUAGGUGUGAAAUAUUAAUAGAGAAUAAAUCAAAUGAGGUAAAAAGAUUUUUAAGAAUUUCUAGUAAAUAUAUUCCUGCCUUUUCUUUUCCUUUUUUUAAAAUAAGGGACUUUUGCAAAUAUUUAAGUUACUUUUCAGUUAUUUUAGAUGCUGAACUGAAAUAUCUUUAGAUAUGACACCACACUGACAAGGAACAUUCCAGAGCCCCCUGCUUACCAUGGGAUACAUAUACCUGCGGGGUUCCUGGGUGGCGCUAGUGGUAGAGAAACCACUUACCAACACAGGAGAUGUAAAGAGACGUGUGUUUACUCCU
rnacentral:lncRNA from 1 species